UACAGAGGUCUCAAGCGUUAAUCGGAAUUACUGGGCUUAAAGGGUCCGCAGGCGGACCAGCAAGUACCUUGUGAAAUCUCAGGUCUCAACCCUGAGUCUGCUAGGUAGACUGCUGGUCUUGAGUGCAAAAGGGGUCGCUGGAACUCUAGGUGGAGCGGUGAAAUGCGUAGAUAUCUGGAGGAACACCGGUGGCGAAGGCGGCAUCCUGGACCGGCAUUGACGCUGAUGCGCGAAAGCCAGGGGAGCAAACGGG
rnacentral:rRNA from 1 species